rnacentral:rRNA from 1 species
CAGCCGUAAACAAUGUGCGUUAGGUGUGUCGGUAACCACGCGUUACUGAUGCGCCGAAGAGAAAUCGUGAAACGCACCACCUGGGAAGUACGGUCGCAAGGCUGAAACUUAAAGGAAUUGGCGGGGGAGCACCACAACAGGUGGAGCCUGCGGUUUAAUUGGAUUCAACGCCGGACAUCUCACCGGAUAAGACAGCUGAAUGAUAGUCGGGCUGAAGACUCUACUUGAUGAUCUGAGAGGAGGUGCAUGGCGUCAGUGACU